rnacentral:rRNA from 1 species
CGGGUGCACUGAUCCAGCCGGGCCUUUCCCUCUGUGGAACCCCAUGGCCUUCACUGGCUGUGGUGGGGAAACAGGACUUUUACUUUGAAAAAAUUAGAGUGCUCCAGGCAGGCCUAUGCUCGAAUACAUUAGCAUGGAAUAAUAGAAUAGGACGUGUGGUUCUAUUUUGUUGGUUUCUAGGACCGCCGUAAUGAUUAAUAGGGACAGUCGGGGGCAUCAGUAUUCAAUUGUCAGAGGUGAAAUUCUUGGAUCUAUUGAAGACUAACUACUGCGAAAGCAUUUGCCAAGGAUGUUUUCAUUGAUAAGGAACGAAAGUUAGGGGAUCGAAGACGAUCAGAUACCGUCGUAGUCUUAACUAUAAACUAUGCCGACUAGGGAUCGGACGAUGUUAUUCUUUGACGCGUUCGGCACCUUUCGAGAAAUCAAAGUGCUUGGGCUCCAGGGGGAGUAUGGUCGCAAGGCUGAAACUUAAAGAAAUUGACGGAAAGGGCACCACCAGGGGUGGAACCUGCGGCUUAAUUUGACUCAACACGGGGAAACUCACCAGGUCCAGACACAGUGAGGAUUGACAGAUUGAGAGCUCUUUCUUGAUUCUGUGGGUGGUGGUGCAUGGCCGUUCUUAGUUGGUGGAGUGAUUUGUCUGCUUAAUUGCGAUAACGAACGAGACCUUAACCUGCUAAAUAGCCCGUACUGCUUUGGCAGUUCGCCGGCUUCUUAGAGGGACUAUCGG